rnacentral:rRNA from 1 species
GACGAACGCUGGCGGCGUGCUUAACACAUGCAAGUCGAACGGAAAGGCCUCUUUCGGGGGGUACUCGAGUGGCGAACGGGUGAGUAACACGUGAGUAACCUGCCCUUGACUUUGGGAUAACUUCAGGAAACUGGGGCUAAUACCGGAUAGGAGCUCCUGCUGCAUGGUGGGGGUUGGAAAGUUUCGGCGGUUGGGGAUGGACUCGCGGCUUAUCAGCUUGUUGGUGGGGUAGUGGUUUACCAAGGCUGUUACGGGUAGCCGGCCUGAGAGGGUGACCGGCGACACUGGGACUGAGAUACGGCCCAGACUCCGACGGGAGGCAGCAGUGGGGAAUAUUGCACAAUGGGUGGAAGCCUGGUGCAGCAACGCCGUGUGCGGGAUGACGGCCUUCGGGUUGUAAAACGCUUUCGCUCAUGACGAAGCUUUGUGUGACGGUAGUGGGUAAAGAAGCACCGGCUAACUACGUG